rnacentral:lncRNA from 1 species
CGUAUUUGGCGGUGGCAGCGGCGUAUUUGGGAAAGGGAUGAGAGAGAUAAGUGACGGACCCACCUGUCACUUUUUUCGUCGCCCCACAUGUAAGUUAAGUCGACCGACCCCACCUGUCAGGACGUGGCCUGCAUGUAAGGUAACCAGACCCGUUAAGACCUGCCCGCUUGCACUGUCUCCUCGCAGCCCCACACGCCAGAAACGCAGCUCCGGGCCCACCUGUCAGGACUCCCCGCAGCCCACCCGUCAGAACCAAACGGUCAAAGGGGCUUGACCGUUAGCAGGUGCUCCGUGAGGGCAUUUGCGAGGAAUCGCGAAACGAACAAGUGUAGCAGCGAGCACUAUUUCUGGCCUGGGGUAUAACUGAGUACAGCUAAAUAAAGAGGGGCACAGAAAUAAAAAAACCCAAAAAAAAAUCCCUAGCCCACAGCGAUCGACAUCCGGCAACCGGUGGGUGGCGGCUCAGCACGCGACGGUACACAUGCAGGCAGACGCCGAUCACCGAUUCCCUGUUUCGGUUUGUGUUUCUCAAAACAAAACAAAAAGAUCUUGCCUUUGAACAUUGAAUGAUUUAUGAUCACCAAGUUGUUGUGUGAGGCCUAACUAGAUUAUAUUUUGGUUGUAAUUUGCUAGGUUUAAUUUAGAUGGAGAGAUUCUAUCCAAAAUUAAAAAUUAGAUGACUAGUGAAAGCAGGGC